GACGAACGCUGGCGGCGCUUCCUAACACAUGCAAGUCGAACGAGCGAGAGAGAGCUUGCCUUCUUGAGCGAGUGGCGAACGGGUGAGUAACGCGUGAGGAACCUGCCUCAAAGAGGGGGACAACAGUUGGAAACGACUGCUAAUACCGCAUAAGCCCACGACCCGGCAUCGGGUUGAGGGAAAAGGAGCAAUCCGCUUUGAGAUGGCCUCGCGUCCGAUUAGCUAGUUGGUGAGGUAACGGCCCACCAAGGCAACGAUCGGUAGCCGGACUGAGAGGUUGAACGGCCACAUUGGGACUGAGACACGGCCCAGACUCCUACGGGAGGCAGCAGUGGGGAAUAUUGCACAAUGGGGGAAACCCUGAUGCAGCGACGCCGCGUGGAGGAAGAAGGUCUUCGGAUUGUAAACUCCUGUUGUUGAGGAAGAUAAUGACGGUACUCAACAAGGAAGUGACGGCUAACUACGUGCCAGCAGCCGCGGUAAAACGUAGGUCACAAGCGUUGUCCGGAAUUACUGGGUGUAAAGGGAGCGCAGGCGGGAAGACAAGUUGGAAGUGAAAUCUAUGGGCUCAACCCAUAAACUGCUUUCAAAACUGUUUUUCUUGAGUAGUGCAGAGGUAGGCGGAAUUCCCGGUGUAGCGGUGGAAUGCGUAGAUAUCGGGAGGAACACCAGUGGCGAANGCGGCCUACUGGGCACCAACUGACGCUGAGGCUCGAAAGUGUGGGUAGCANACAGG
rnacentral:rRNA from 1 species